AUCUCACUCACUCAAAAAAAAUCAUUCUUCGUUUGCGAUUGAGAGUGGUUAGCCGUGUGUUUUAUUUUUGUAAACGUAGUAAAAAUUUUCUGACCAUAUUUCAUCAGCAGUUUUUCAUUAGUGAUACUUCGGAUCACCAUACCGAAAAACAGGAGGAUGUCUCGCUAUAGAGAAUGGGAUUUGUCCUGCAAAGUUUACGUUGGCAACCUGGGUACAAAUGCUUCCAAAUAUGAGAUCGAAAAAGUGUUCUCAAAAUACGGUAACAUCAGGAAUGUGUGGGUUGCCCGAAACCCUCCUGGGUUCGCAUUUGUUGAGUUCGAAGAUCCUCGUGACGCCGAAGAUUCUGUACGAGGCUUAGAUGGAACACGUUGCUGUGGUACACGGAUCCGUGUUGAGAUGUCGAAUGGACGCACAAGGAGAGAUAGAAGGUCCAUUUUAUCAACCAACCACCAACACACCGACCUCACCACAUCUCUUCACCACAACUACGGCUCGUUUACCGAUAAGACAUCCGCGAACAACGCCGCUAGCAACAACUUCUUCAAAACGCUCUCCAAACUUCUCGGCGCAGCUGAGGCGACAACCAACUACGUCCUAUUUCUCCUCCCAACCGCCAUUACCUAGUCCUGACCCAGCGUUACCUGGACACGAUCCUUAAACCCGAGAGCCACAUAGGAUCAAUCACCUUGACCAUUGCAACCUUGAUGCUUCACCGACUGCACACCGAGGCACCGAGCCAACGACAACUUAACAACGGCCGACUCUCCCCGUGUUACCACAUUUUCUCUCGAAACUUCCGUUAAAGCCAACGUCUGAAGACAUUGAACUCCGCCUACAUUCAAGUUAAAAUCCCCUGGCCUCACAGCAGCCCCUCAACGGUCAACGACCUUCGCUGGCUCAUCAAGGCUCGGUCUCGCAGCCGAAGCCCCCGCCGCCGGUCGUACUCCAGAGGUCGUUCUGUGUCCCCGCGUCGGUCUCCUUCGGUCCGCCGCCGAUCCCCUU